rnacentral:rRNA from 1 species
GAUGAACGCUGGCGGCGUGCCUAAUACAUGCAAGUCGAACGAAACUUCUUUAUCACCGAGUGCUUGCACUCACCGAUAAAGAGUUGAGUGGCGAACGGGUGAGUAACACGUGGGCAACCUGCCCAAAAGAGGGGGAUAACACUUGGAAACAGGUGCUAAUACCGCAUAACCAUAGUUACCGCAUGGUAACUAUGUAAAAGGUGGCUAUACUACCGCUUUUGGAUGGGCCCGCGGCGCAUUAGCUAGUUGGUAGGGUAAAGGCUUACCAAGGCAAUGAUGCGUAACCGAAAUGAGAGGUUGAUCGGACACAUUGUGACUGAGACACGGCCCAAACUCCUACGGGAGGCAGCAGUAGGGAAUCUUCCACAAUGGGCGAAAGCCUGAUGGAGCAACGCCGCGUGGGUGAAGAAGGUCUUCGGAUCGUAAAACCCUGUUGUUAGAGAAGAAAGUGCGUGAGAGUAACUGUUCACGUUUCGACGGUAUCUAACCAGAAAGCCACGGCUAACUACGUG